GAUGAACGCUGACAGAAUGCUUAACACAUGCAAGUCGACUCGGGUCUUCGGACUUGGGUGGCGCACGGGUGAGUAACGCGUAAAGAACUUGCCUCUUAGACCGGGACAACAUCUGGAAACGGAUGCUAAUACCGGAUAUUAUGGUUUUUCGCAUGGAGGAAUCAUGAAAGCUAGAUGCGCUAAGAGAGAGCUUUGCGUCCCAUUAGCUAGUUGGUGAGGUAACGGCCCACCAAGGCAAUGAUGGGUAGCCGGCCUGAGAGGGUGAACGGCCACAAGGGGACUGAGACACGGCCCUU
rnacentral:rRNA from 1 species